AUGCAGAGACCUGUUGAGCUGCAUGCAGCUUACUAUCAUGACCGGAUGCUUCAAACUGCCAAGGACAUAGGGCAGAUGGCGACGGAAAGCAUGCCGCCCAGGGGACAAGCUAUCAAGUCAUUCAAUAAACGUUUUAAAGAAUACGUGCUAACAAAGUUGAGAUGUGGUAGAGGCGACGACGUUGUCAUUGGAGCGUACAACAUGCCAGUACCGAGGUCAGCCAGACCGAGUGCGGCGCCGUCGUCCAGACCGAGCGAGGCGCGUACAAGCCAUGGGCAGUGGGGGGAGGGUCCGGGUACAACAACGACAUUGCCACGACAUGACUCAUCUCUGCCACUACAUCGCUCUUCUUCAGUGCUGCUUCGUCAGGGGCAGACAUCACAGGGCCAUGGCAUGGGCUUGGAUUCGAUGCCUGAGCUGUAUCUUUCCCCAAACCCAUAUGCAUACACAGGAUAUGGCGCAUACACUCAAGGUGAGGGAUCUCAGCCGUAUCUCUCCACGCGAGGGAUCUCCAUGCCCGAGGAGACUCGUGUCCCAGAUUUAAACCAGUACCAGGUAGAAUGUCCAGACAGUACACGCGAGGGAUCUGAUCAGGGCAUACCUGAUGUAAAUUGGGACGAUGAGUACACCCAACCUGGCGACAAUGUUAACACAGUAGAUACAGAUUUCUUCAGAGAGGAUGUUAUUGGCCCAUCUUUUAUCCCUGAGGAGUCACAACAACCAUACGCCUACAAUUACGCAUCAGGUUUGCAACAAGGAUUACAGACUCCACCACCUAUGCAGGAGUCGCAGACACAGGAAGACCAACUGGAGUACGGUCGCGGUCUUCGUGUAACUCGACCACCUAAUCGCUUGGAGCUUUCCAGUCCGAAGGGAAGGCCAGCUGGCCGUCGUCGACUACAAUGA
rnacentral:rRNA from 1 species